AUUUCCGCGGUCACUCUAAUAUUUGACGAAAAGUGAAAAUGUACAAAGUAAAACAUUUACAUAUGUUAUUUUUUUUUUUUGCAAAUGACUGCACUACUCAAAGUCAAAUGGCUGGCCAAGAUGCCGAACUGGGCAAGUUGGCGUCCACCACUUCGCUGGGAAACUUCUAUCGAGGACAGAAGAAGGUCUUCCUGGCGCUGUUGCAAAGCUACAGGAGGCAUCCGAGUACAGCGUUAUCGGUCAUUUAUUGCUAAGUCCUGGACUUAUUUUUAUAAUUGAUCCGAAAUAUAUAAAAAUAAAUAUUUACCGCGA